rnacentral:rRNA from 1 species
CAAUAGCGUAUAUUAAAGUUGUUGCAGUUAAAAAGCUCGUAGUUGGAUUUGUGGCGUACGGUGUGUUCCGGGCACUUGUUGUCUGAGUAACCUGCUGUUGCCAUCCUUGGGUGGAACCUGUGUGGCAUUAGGUUGUCGUGCAUGGGAUGCCCAUCAUUUACUGUGAAAAAAUUAGAGUGUUCAAAGCAGGCUUAUGCCGUUGAAUAUAUUAGCAUGGAAUAAUGAGAUAGGACUUUUUUGCUAUUUUGUUGGUUUGCGCAAAGAGGUAAUGAUUAAUAGGGACAGUUGGGGGUAUUCGUAUUCCAUUGUCAGAGGUGAAAUUCUUGGAUUUUUGGAAGACGAACUACUGCGAAAGCAUUUACCAAGGAUGUUUUCAUUAA